rnacentral:rRNA from 1 species
CGUUCCCGGGUCUUGUACACACCGCCCGUCACACCAUGAGAGCGGGUUUUACCAGAAGUAGGUAGCUUAACCGCAAGGGGGGCGCUUACCACGGUAGGAUUCGUGACUGGGGUG